GUGGGGAAUAUUGGACAAUGGGCGAAAGCCUGAUCCAGCCAUGCCGCGUGUGUGAAGAAGGUCUUCGGAUUGUAAAGCACUUUAAGUUGGGAGGAAGGGUAGUAACUUAAUACGUUGCUACUUUGACGUUACCGACAGAAUAAGCACCGACUAACUUCGUGCCAGCAGCCGCGGUAAUACGAAUGGUGCAAGCGUUAAUCGGAAUUACUGGGCGUAAAGCGCGCGUAGGUGGUUCAGUAAGUUGGAAGUGAAAUCCCCGGGAUCAACCUGGGAACUGCUUUCAAAACUGCUGAGCUAGAGUACGGUAGAGGGUGGUGGAAUUUCCUGUGUAGCGGUGAAAUGCGUAGAUAUAGGAAGGAACACCAGUAGCGAAGGCGACCACCUGGACUGAUACUGACACUGAGGUGCGAAAGCGUGGGGAGCAAACAGGAUUAGAUACCCGAGUAGUCC
rnacentral:rRNA from 1 species